UUGAAGAGUUUGAUCAUGGCUCAGAUUGAACGCUGGCGGCAGGCCUAACACAUGCAAGUCGAGCGGUAGCACAGAGAGCUUGCUCUCGGGUGACGAGCGGCGGACGGGUGAGUAAUGUCUGGGAAACUGCCUGAUGGAGGGGGAUAACUACUGGAAACGGUAGCUAAUACCGCAUAAUGUCGCAAGACCAAAGUGGGGGACCUUCGGGCCUCAUGCCAUCAGAUGUGCCCAGAUGGGAUUAGCUAGUAGGUGGGGUAAUGGCUCACCUAGGCGACGAUCCCUAGCUGGUCUGAGAGGAUGACCAGCCACACUGGAACUGAGACACGGUCCAGACUCCUACGGGAGGCAGCAGUGGGGAAUAUUGCACAAUGGGCGCAAGCCUGAUGCAGCCAUGCCGCGUGUGUGAAGAAGGCCUUCGGGUUGUAAAGCACUUUCAGCGGGGAGGAAGGCGAUAAGGUUAAUAACCUUAGCGAUUGACGUUACCCGCAGAAGAAGCACCGGCUAACUCCGUGCCAGCAGCCGCGGUAAUACGGAGGGUGCAAGCGUUAAUCGGAAUUACUGGGCGUAAAGCGCACGCAGGCGGUCUGUCAAGUCGGAUGUGAAAUCCCCGGGCUCAACCUGGGAACUGCAUUCGAAACUGGCAGGCUAGAGUCUUGUAGAGGGGGGUAGAAUUCCAGGUGUAGCGGUGAAAUGCGUAGAGAUCUGGAGGAAUACCGGUGGCGAAGGCGGCCCCCUGGACAAAGACUGACGCUCAGGUGCGAAAGCGUGGGGAGCAAACAGGAUUAGAUACCCUGGUAGUCCACGCCGUAAACGAUGUCGAUUUGGAGGUUGUGCCCUUGAGGCGUGGCUUCCGGAGCUAACGCGUUAAAUCGACCGCCUGGGGAGUACGGCCGCAAGGUUAAAACUCAAAUGAAUUGACGGGGGCCCGCACAAGCGGUGGAGCAUGUGGUUUAAUUCGAUGCAACGCGAAGAACCUUACCUGGUCUUGACAUCCACAGAACUUUCCAGAGAUGGAUUGGUGCCUUCGGGAACUGUGAGACAGGUGCUGCAUGGCUGUCGUCAGCUCGUGUUGUGAAAUGUUGGGUUAAGUCCCGCAACGAGCGCAACCCUUAUCCUUUGUUGCCAGCGGUCCGGCCGGGAACUCAAAGGAGACUGCCAGUGAUAAACUGGAGGAAGGUGGGGAUGACGUCAAGUCAUCAUGGCCCUUACGACCAGGGCUACACACGUGCUACAAUGGCAUAUACAAAGAGAAGCGACCUCGCGAGAGCAAGCGGACCUCAUAAAGUAUGUCGUAGUCCGGAUUGGAGUCUGCAACUCGACUCCAUGAAGUCGGAAUCGCUAGUAAUCGUAGAUCAGAAUGCUACGGUGAAUACGUUCCCGGGCCUUGUACACACCGCCCGUCACACCAUGGGAGUGGGUUGCAAAAGAAGUAGGUAGCUUAACCUUCGGGAGGGCGCUUACCACUUUGUGAUUCAUGACUGGGGUGAAGUCGUAACAAGGUAACCGUAGGGGAACCUGCGGUUGGAUCACCUCCUU
rnacentral:rRNA from 1 species